GGCACCAUGGUGUAGUGGUUAUCACAUCUGCCUAAUACGCAGAAGGUCCCCAGUUCGAGCCUGGGUUGUGUCA
rnacentral:tRNA from 1 species